UGCGCCUGCGCGGUGCGGCGGCGCACGUGUUCGAGCCGGAAGAGCCCGUGGGGCUGAAAGUUCUAGGGAUGGAGACCGAGAUGGAGUCCCAGAGCGCGGUAGCCCAGGACGGCUUCACCCUGGUCACCCGCAAGAGUGGUCGGCGGGCAAAGAAACGGCAGGCCGAGCAGCUGUCGGCGGCGGGGGAAAGCGGGGACGCUGGGCGCAUGGACACGGAGGAGGCCCGGCCAGCGAAGAGACCCGUCUUCCCGCCCCUCUCCGGGGACGCGUUCCUGGGUGGGAAAGAAGAAACAAGGAAAAUUCCGGUCCCAGCUAACAGGUACACGCCCUUAAAAGAGAAUUGGAUGAAGAUUUUUACUCCAAUUGUAGAACAUUUGGGACUUCAAAUACGCUUUAAUUUGAAAUCGAGAAAUGUGGAAAUCAGGACAUGCAAAGAAACCAAGGAUGUCAGUGCUCUGACAAAAGCAGCUGAUUUUGUGAAAGCCUUCAUUCUCGGGUUUCAGGUGGAGGAUGCACUGGCCCUCAUUAGGUUGGAUGACCUCUUCCUGGAGUCUUUUGAAAUUACAGAUGUGAAGCCCCUAAAGGGAGACCACCUGUCGAGAGCAAUAGGAAGGAUCGCUGGCAAAGGAGGAAAAACCAAAUUCACAAUAGAGAAUGUGACACGGACACGGAUAGUUUUGGCUGAUGUGAAAGUUCACAUCCUCGGCUCUUUCCAAAACAUCAAGAUGGCAAGGACUGCCAUUUGCAACCUCAUCCUGGGAAAUCCUCCAUCCAAGGUUUAUGGCAAUAUUCGAGCUGUGGCUAGCAGAGCAGCAGAUCGAUUCUGAUUUCAAAUCAGACUUAUCUUCUGUUUGGACUUUAAAGACCUUACCCCUCUUAUGAAGAUUUCUAAAGAGCCCACAACAUGAUGUAUCAUGCAGAAGAAAAACUAAACAUUCAACAUAAACCACCCCUCCCCCACCCACCUACACACUAAGAAAAAAAAAAAAAGAAAAAAAGAAACCCUCAUUCCCCAGUAAGGAAAUAAUGUUUGCACUAUUUUGCUGUAACGCCAGCCAAGAUAUGCACAAGCAAGAGAAUAGAAAGCAUUUGCUAAAAUAUUUGUAACAAAUACUUAUGUACAAAAAAUUCACAAAAGACUAGUUUCCCCUUGAAGCAGAGCACAUGGCAGUUGACACUGGAACAGAUCAAACCACUGGCUGGGAUUAUAAGCCACGUACUGAUCCAGAGGAAGAAAGUUACAUGUAGUGGAGAUUUUUCAGUUUGAACAUUAACAUUUCCAAAGUUUGGCAACAUCUUUUAAAAUUAUGCAAAUUAUGUAAACAAGAGAGGUACAUUUUAAAUAGAUCUACAUGCAAAACUCCAUGUCAUGCAAGGACACCAAGCACCGGGAUUUUUCUCUCACAGACAGAGCCCAUGAUGUGCAGCACUCAGUUGAAGGAACAGCGAUGGCAGGCAGGUGCCCAAUUUAAGAUUCAUUCACUUUGUUUCAACCUGCCCUUUUCCACUCAUGUAUAAAACCAGUUUUUAUAGAAAAACUAUACAGGGAAAGACUACUGUCCUAGAAAGCUAACCAAAAUGUCUUCAUCCAGCCAAUAUUGUUUGCACUAUAGUACCUUUGCAGAAAAGGGAAGGGAUAAUAUCAAGUGGUGGAACAUGAUACACUACUUUUAUAUCACACAAAUUUAUUGUUAUUCAUAUACAAAUAUGGGCAAAUCAAGAAAGAAAACCAUCAUGCACUUUAUGUUUUGGGGUAAAGAAAUUUAAGAGAUUAAAAACUGGGUAAGAUAAAAUUUUGCUCUUCUGUGGCAUAUAGAUUAGUAAGAUUUCUCCCAUUUAAAUCACUUAUACAUGUGGGGUUUCAGAUAUAUACAUGCACAUUAAAUAUCACCAGUUUUCAGAUUAGCUGCAAGUCUUCUGAAACAGAAGGGAAACUUAUAGUUCGAACAUAAGUUUAGUGAUAAAUUAUUUACCCAUGUAAUGAAACAAACAAGUGGAUAUUCUAAGCAAUUACAUAAUUACUUCAAAUACUUGUCAUUAAAUAAUGUCUAAAAUAAAUGACUGCCUCAGCUUCUGGCUUUUAUGCGCAAAAUCACAACUGAUAACUUACAUUUCACUCAGGGACAUUCAAUAAAUGUAAUGACUCCUAGCUAUAAAGAAACAAUGAUGCAGCCAUAGCCUUGCAGUUUCUAUAUGAACACAAGAAAGAGCUCUUGGCAGUAGCACGGAACUAUACUUUCUCCUCAAGCAGAGUUAUGUUAAAAGCUGCUCAACAAUGAGAUUUAGUCCCUGGAAAUAUAUUCAUAGGUAUAAAUAAAGUACAAACUCCUUUGUUACAAAAAUGUAAUUAAGGUAAAUAAGAGGACAUUAACAAAUGCUUUGUCAAUCUCUCAAAGGAGAAAGCACAGGAGAAGGAAAAUAGCUGGCCUAACACCCGGCUCAAUUGUACAAUCUUCUAUCUAUAUAUAAAACUGUGUGAAAUAAAAGUAAGGAUGUUUUAUGUUCUGCUUGGCACUUUUAUACUCUAUCAUUUUGUUUCUGAAUCAAGUAUAUUAAAUUAAAGCCAACCUACUACACAUAUA